rnacentral:rRNA from 1 species
AGUGAACGCUGGCGGUAGGCCUAACACAUGCAAGUCGAACGGCAGCACAGUAAGAGCUUGCUCUUACGGGUGGCGAGUGGCGGACGGGUGAGGAAUACAUCGGAAUCUACUUUUUCGUGGGGGAUAACGUAGGGAAACUUACGCUAAUACCGCAUACGACCUACGGGUGAAAGCAGGGGAUCUUCGGACCUUGCGCGAUUGAAUGAGCCGAUGUCGGAUUAGCUAGUUGGCGGGGUAAAGGCCCACCAAGGCGACGAUCCGUAGCUGGUCUGAGAGGAUGGUCCGCCACACUGGAACUGAGACACGGGCCAGACCCCUAAGGGAGGGCACAGUGGGGAAUAUUGGGCAAUGGGCGGAAGCCCGACGCAGGCAAGCCGGGUGGGGGAAAAAGGGCUUCGGGUUUUAAAACCCUUUUUUUUGGGAAAAAAAAACGGGGGGUUAAACCCCCCCGUUUUGACGGUACCCAAAAAAAAAGCCACGGCUAACUUCGUG